GACGAACGCUGGCGGCGUGCUUAACACAUGCAAGUCGAACGGAAAUGCCCUGCUUUUGUGGGGUGCUCGAGUGGCGAACGGGUGAGUAACACGUGAGUAACCUGCCCUUGACUUUGGGAUAACUUCAGGAAACUGGGGCUCAUACCGGAUAGGAGCUCCUGCUGCAUGGUGGGGGUUGGAAAGUUUCGGCGGUUGGUGAUGGACUCGCGGCUUAUCAGCUUGUUGGUGGGGUAGUGGCUUACCAAGGCUUUGACGGGUAGCCGGCCUGAGAGGGUGACCGGACACAUUGGGACUGAGAUACGGCCCAGACUCAUACGGGAGGCAGCAGUGGGGAAGAUUGCACAAUGGGCGGAAGCCUGAUGCAGCAACGCCGCGUGCGGGAUGACGGCCUUCGGGUUGGAAACCGCUUUCGCCUGUGACGAAGCGUGAGUGACGGUAAUGGGUAAAGAAGCACCGGCUAACUACGUG
rnacentral:rRNA from 1 species